rnacentral:rRNA from 1 species
GAUGAACGCUAGCGGGAGGCUUAACACAUGCAAGUCGAGGGGCAUCACGAGGUAGCAAUACUUUGGUGGCGACCGGCGCACGGGUGAGUAACGCGUAUGCAACCUACCCUGUACAGGGGGAUAGCCCGGAGAAAUCCGGAUUAAUACCCCAUAAUGAUAUUUUAUGGCAUCAUAAAAUAUUUAAAGCUCAGGCGGUACGGGAUGGGCAUGCGUAACAUUAGCUAGUUGGUAGGGUAAUGGCCUACCAAGGCGACGAUGUUUAGGGGUCCUGAGAGGGUGACCCCCCACACUGGUACUGAGACACGGACCAGACUCCUACGGGAGGCAGCAGUGAGGAAUAUUGGUCAAUGGGCGCGAGCCUGAACCAGCCAUCCCGCGUGAAGGAAGACUGCCCUAUGGGUUGUAAACUUCUUUUCCAGGGGAAUAAAAUCUCGAACGAGUUCGGGACUGAAGGUACCCUGGGAAUAAGCAUCGGCUAACUCCGUGCCAGCCGCCGCCGUAAAAC